rnacentral:lncRNA from 1 species
AUUCCAGGCUGUGGAUCCGGUCGUGGGAAGCAGGCUGGUCUCCAACUUCUGGCUGCAAGUGAUCCUCCCUCCUUGGCCUGGCAAAGUGCUGGGAUUAAAGGGCCGCACACAUACAGAGCUGAACUUGUAUCGCCGUGUAGAUGAAGACAAACACCUUUAGGAGAUGGCAGAGAAACAAAAUGGGAAACCCUCAGGUCUCCAAAUGACUACACCAAGCAGAAUUGCCCCACCAGCCUGCACCAUUCAUUUCUAGACUAUGAGCAAGAAGUACACUUCCAUCUUAUUUAAACAACCAUAUUUGGGGUUUUUGUUGUUGUUAUUGUUGUUGUUAUAGGAGCUUAGCUUUUACUCUAAGAAAUACAGCUACUCAACUCACUUCAUUAGGAUCUUAACUAUAAUAUCAAAACCUCCUAAGCACAGAAUAAAAAAUACAGUAGAGCAAUAUCAUUUAUGAUCAUAGAUGCAGAGCUUCCAAAUGAAAUACUAGCAUAUUCAAGGAAAGAUAUAUAUACCAUGACCUAGUUGUGUUUAAUUUCUGGAAUUCAAAAAUGGAAUGUUUGACAUAAGAAAAUCUAUUAGGCCGGGCGCGGUGGCUCACGCCUGUAAUCCCAGCACUUUGGGAGGCCGAGGCAGGCAGAUCACGAGGUCAGGAGAUCGAGAUCAUCCUGGCUAAUACGGUGAAACCCCGUUUCUACUAAAAAAUACAAAAAAAAAAUAUUAGCUGGGAGUGGUGGCGGGCGCCUGUAGUCCCAGCUACUUGGGAGGCUGAGGCAGGAGAAUGGCGUGAACCCGGGAGGCAGAGCUUACAGUGAGCUGAGAUCGUGCCACUGCACUCCAGCCUGGGUGACAGAGCGAGACUCUGUCUCAAAAAAAAAAAAAAAAAGAAAAAAGAAAACAGUUUGGCAGUUCCUCAAAAAGUUAAACAUAGGAUGUUUGAAAAUUUAAACGUAAUAUGACCUAGCAAUUCAACCCCAGGUAUACAACCAAGAGAAUUGAAAACAGGUGUUCAAACAAAAACUUGUACAGGAUUGCUCAUAGCAGCAUUAUUUAUAAUAGCCAAAAGGAAGAAACUACUCAAAUGUCCAUCAGCUGAUGAAUGGAUAAACAAAAUAUGGUGUAUUUCUACAAUGGACUAUUAUUCAAUCAUAAAAAAUGAAAUGCUGAUAAAUGCCAAAAUUGACGAACUUUUAAAACAUGCUAAGUGGCUGGGUGGGGUGGCUCUAGUCCGUAAUCCCGGCAUGUUAAGAGGCCGAGGUGGGCGGGUCACUUGAGCCUGGGAGGUCGAGGCUGCAGAGAGCUGAGAUCGCGCUACUGCACUCUAGCCUGGGUGACAGAGCAGACCCUGUCUCAGAAAGAAAAGAAAAAACAGAAAAGAGAAAGAAGACAGGAGAGGAGAGAAGGGGAGGGGAGGGGAGGGGAAUGGAGAGGGGGAGGGGAGGGGAGGGGAAGGGGGAGGGAAGGGGAGGGGAGGGGAACAUCCUGGCCGGGUGCAGUGGCUCACGCCUGUAAUCCUAGCACUUUGGGAGGCCAAGGUGGGCGGAUUGCCUGAGCUCAGGAGUUCGAGACCAGCCUGGGCAACACGGUGAAACCCCGUCUCUACUAAAAUACAAAAAAAUUAGUUGGGCGUGGCGAUGUAUACCUGUAGUCCCAGCUACUCAGGAUGCUGAGGCAGAAGAAUUGCUUGAACCCAGGAGGUUGAGGUUGCAGUGACGCGAGAUUGCACCACUGCACUCCAGCCUGGGUGACAGAGUGAGACUCUCUCCCAAAAAAAAAAAAAGAAAAGAAAAGAAAAGAACAUGCUAAGUGAAAGAAGCCAGAGAAAAAAAGGCAACACAUUGUAUUAUUCCAUUUAAUGAAAUAUCCAGGAUAAACAAAUCCAUAGAAAUGAAGAGCAGCUGAGGGGUUGCUGGGGCUAGGGACGGGGGGGAUAUCAGGAAUGACUGCUUCAUGGGUACAGAGUUUUCAGGUGAUGAAAUCUUCUAGAAUUAGAUAAUAGUGAUGGUUGCACAACAUUAUGAAAAUACCAAAAACCACUGAACUGUACACUUUAAAAUUGUUAAAAUGGUGAAUUUUAUAUUAUGUGACAAUUUUGUAAAAGAAUUCUAUAUCCAAUGAAAAUAUUCUUCAAGAAUGAGAGGGAAAUAAAGGCGUUCUCAAGUGAAAAAUCAAGAGAAUUUGUCAUUAGUAGACUUGUUGUAAAAUAAAUACUAAAGAAAGUUCUUCAAACGGAAGAAAGAGGAUACCUGAAAGAAAUUUAGAACAUCAAGAAUGAAGACAGAGAAACAAAAAUGGUAAAAAUCUGGUUAAAUAUAAUAGACUAUUUUUAUCUUAAAUUCUUUAUAAUAUGUAUAUGUUGGGGCUCAGAAAACAACACCUCAAAAGUAUGGCGCUUUGGUAUGCUGAACACUUUGAACUAAAAUAGAAAGGACUUAGAAGCUACCUCAGAAUAAGGCCUUUCUGGCCUCAUCUGUUUCUAUCGCCUAGAGACUUCUAGAGACUUCUGGAGUCUCUAUCCCCCUAGAGACUUCCCCUAGAAUUUCCUUAUCUGACUAAGGAAACUUCUUUCCAAAAGAAAUGCAAUUGUCUUAAGAUCCCCUUCCUAGGAAUCUCAUCAAAUAAUCAGAAAAGAUUAACCACCAGAGAAGAAUGGAGACUAAAGUCAGAUGACUCUUCAUCUAGUCCUCUGAGGCAGUGCCAAGAGAUAACCUGGGAGGCUUUAUCUACCAGGUUAAGUUUCACCCCUCACCUUCCGGUAACUUGCUGGCGUCGUUUAGUUUCCUAGGAGAAUCAUUUACAAGAUAAUGUCUGAGCCUCCUGGGCCCAUUCAUUUCCCCUAAAAAUCAUUAACAACCCCUGCAUUUUCCCCAUCUCCCUCUUCCCUAUGAAGCAGAUAUAUAAGCCUCAAUCAUCUGGCCCUUUGGGUCUCAUAUUUAAUAUUGUACCCAUGUUUUUGUAUGUUAAUAAAUUUAUAUGCCUUUUUCUCCUAUUAAUCUGUGUAUUGUCAGUCAUUUUAGCAAAUCUUUUUUUUUUUUUUUUUUUUUUUUUUUUGAGAUGGAGUCUCGCUCUGUCACCCAGGCUGGAAUGCAGUUGGGCAAUCCUGGCUCACUGCAACCUCUGCCUCCCAGGUUCAAGCAAUCCUCCUGUCUCAGCCUCCUGAGUAGCUGGGAUUACAGGUGCAUGCCGCCACACUCAGCUAAUUUUUUGUAUUUUAGUAGAGACAGGGUUUCCGCGUGUUGCUCAGGCUGGUCUCUAACUCCUGAGCUCAGGUAAUCCACCCACCUCAGCCUCCCAAAGUGCUAGGAGCUAGGAUUUCAGGCGUGAGCCACCGCGCACAGCCUUUAGCAAAUCUUUAGAGAGAACAAAAGGGAAGCUUUCCCUCUGCCCCUGCGUAUGACAAUUGAAAGAAAAAUUACAUCAUGAGACCUUAAAAGCACAGGCAACCAAAGCAAAAAUGGACAAGUGGGAUCACAUCAAGCUAAAGUUUCUGCACAGCAAAGGAAACAAUGAAGAGAAAAGGAAACUAAGUGAAGAAACAACCCACAGAAUGAGAGAAAAUAUUUGCGAACUACCCAUCUGAAAAAGAAUUAAUAACCAGACUAUAUAAGGAGCUCAAACAACUCCACUGGAGAAAAACAAUCCAAUUUUAGAAUGAGCUAAAGAUAUGAAUAGACACUUCUCAAAUGUAUGACCAACAGGCAUAAGAAAAAAUGCUCAACAUCACUAAUCAUCAGAGAAAUGCAAAUCAGAACUACAGUAAGAUAUCAUCUCACCCCAGUUAAAAUGGCUUUUAUCCAAAAGACAG